rnacentral:rRNA from 1 species
AUUGAACGCUGGCGGCAGGCCUAACACAUGCAAGUCGAGCGGAUGAGAGGAGCUUGCUCCUUGAUUCAGCGGCGGACGGGUGGGUAAUGCCUAGGAAUCUGCCUGGUAGUGGGGGACAACGUUUCGAAAGGAACGCUAAUACCGCAUACGUCCUACGGGAGAAAGCAGGGGACCUUCGGGCCUUGCGCUAUCAGAUGAGCCUAGGUCGGAUUAGCUAGUUGGUGAGGUAAUGGCUCACCAAGGCGACGAUCCGUAACUGGUCUGAGAGGAUGAUCAGUCACACUGGAACUGAGACACGGUCCUGACUCCUACGGGAGGCAGCAGUGGGGAAUAUUGGACAAUGGGCGAAAGCCUGAUCCAGCCAUGCCGCGUGUGUGAAGAAGGUCUUCGGAUUGUAAAGCACUUUAAGUUGGGAGGAAGGGCAGUAAGUUAAUACCUUGCUGUUUUGACGUUACCGACAGAAUAAGCACCGGCUAACUCUGUGCCAGCAGCCGCAGUAA